GGGAGCCCUCUGUUCUCAGCCAGCAGCAAAGCAGUCAUGCAGAGACUCUAGGUCACCAUAAACAUGCUUGCCUCUCUCCCUCAUUUGAAGGUAGAAUCAGGUUCCUAACCUUACUAUCUUUAAGGUCAAUCCCAAGCCCAUCACACUCUUGGCUCUCAUUUAAUGCUGGCUCAACAACUGUAUGAGUCAAGCAGUUGGCCUAGAGAAUUUAUUCCUCCUCUCUCUGUGCUUAAAUCAGAAGUGUCCUCAGACACCAGCCCAAACACGUUAUUAAAAUGGGGAAACUGAGGACCAGAGAGGGAUAAUGGCCUGCAUAAAAUCUCCCAUAAUUAGUAGAGAUUAUAAAUUAGUACUAUGCUAAUAAUAUCUUGUCUUUUAUAACACAUGGACUUCUAAAGGACUUUUUUUUUUAUUGAUGAUUUUUAUUUUUUUUCCAUUAUAGCUGGUUUACAGUGUUCUGUCAAUUUUCUACUAUACAGCAAGGUGACCCAGUCGCACAUACACAUAUACAUUCCUUUUUUCUCACAUUAUCAUGCUCCAUCAUAAGUGACUAGACAUAGUUCCCAGUGCUAUACAGCAGGGUCUCAUUGCUUAUCCAUUCCAAAGGCAAUAGUUUGUAUUUAUUAACCCCAAAUUCCCAGUUAAAGGACUUAUUUAAAUGGAAGAUCCAAUAAGAAUUUCCUCUUUGGGAGUUCCCGUUGUGACUCAGUGGAUUAAGAAAAUGACACAGUAUCUGUCAGGACGUGGGUUCUAUCCUUGGCCUCACUCAGGGGAUUAGGAUCCGGCGUUGCCUCAAGCUGCAGUGUAGGUCACAGAUGUAGCUCAGAUCUGGUUUUGCUGUUGCUGCGGUGUAGACCUCAGCUCCAGCUCUGUUUCAACCCCUAACCUAGGAACUUCCAUAUGCAGCAAGUAUAGCCAUAAAACAGAAAAAAAAAUUCCCCCUGAACUCUCUCUGUGAUUACCUUUUUAUCAGUGAGUUCUCCUAAGAUCACCAUAUUUAAAAUAACACUCCCUGCUCUCCACACUCCCCGCCUCCUUCCUCACACCUGGCAUUCCUUACCUCCCUCCCCUUACCCACUCUACUCUGUUUUUCUCACUAGCACUUAUUAUUAUCCAAUAGUCCAGACACUACAUGUGUUUAUAUUUCUUUGGUUAACCCCAGCCCCCAAGAAAGUGAUAUCCACAAGAAUGGAGGCUUUGGCCAUUUUAAUCAGUUCUAUCUCUAUUACUUAUAACAUGCUUGGUACAUAGCAGGCAUUCACUACACAUUUGAAGAAAUUAAAUUACUUGUCUAGAAGGCAGACCAUUCCUUGAGAACCUUAGUCAGUUAUGAUUUAGUUCUUUCCAUGAAGACAUGAUUAUGCCACGAUUACCAACUGACUCCUAGAGAGGCGGGAGGCAGUGACCAAGCACCCUCCAGCUACAGGUGUCAAGAUGCACCAGGACCCAGUCCAACCAGGAUCUGUGCCGUGGAACAGAAUCAGCCCAAACAUGAGACGCAGUCUAAUUUUGUUUGCAUGUCUGUCUCUCCUAUUUGGCUGAGAGAACCAUGAGCAUAUGUUGUCCUUGCUAAUACCCUAGCCCGUAUUACAGGUCCUGGAAAACUCCUGAUCAAAAUGGGCAGGUAGAACCCCCACAGAGCUAGAAAUGCUAAUACCAGUGCUGAAUGAAAUGGUAGCCACAUGCCACAUGGGGUUAAUAAGCACUUGAAGAAUGACCAUGCAACUUAUGAGUUGAAUUCUUACUUUUAUUGAAUUUACAAUAGUUUUAAGUGUGAAUAACCACAUGUGACUAAGGCUACUACUGUAUUCAGUGGCUCUAGAUUUUAAAUAUGUCUACUGAAUGAAUAUUGACGACUGAUUUAGUUGAAAAAGUCAUUGUCUAUAAGGUAAAAACUUCAGUAAUCUGAAGCACCUGAGCGAAAGAAAUUAGUCGAAUGUGGAAAUUGUCAAUUAGUUAAAAUAAUUGCUUUUUGCCAGUUCCAAGCCUAUGUACUUGAUCCCUUGAUCCCUUUCUUUCUGGUGUAAUCAGCACACAGGAGUCAAAAUUAUUUUUGUAUCGAUCAAUGUUAUACAGCGAGAUAUUUCUCAUGGCUUUGUACAUUCUUCUGGAUUAUGAUUAUGAAUAUUGCACUUUUCGAAUGUACCAUUUUCAUCACUCAGUUGUAUUUUAGUAGAUGUACAUGUUGAUUUCAGGGGGCUUUUUUGGCUAAUAUAAACAAGAGUGUAAUCCAUAUACUUUCCAUAAAUCUUGGUGGACACCUUUGUUUAUUUUGGCUGAAAUAAUACUAGUGGAGAAACACCUUCAAAAAUUUAGAAACAUCAUUUUGAUAAUAUCUUCUACAACCUCCUCUGAUAAACUCAUCAAAAGGGCUUGUCAAGGACAAUCCUCGAUUGAUGGUUCCUGUGUGCAGUUGGCCUUGCACACUAUUGCAGUAACCCUUCUUAGCACUGUCCCUUCCGUUUUACAUUCUGUCCCCAUGCCUGAGGCUGAAUUAAUGCCACACUGCUAUAAGGAAAUCUAAAACUUCAUGGGCUUAAAUAGGAUGGAGGCGUAUUUCCUUCUCAUAUAAAACUCUGCUAUCCUGUACAUGUGGCUCUAAGGUUGCUCUAAUCAUAGGCAGCUACCCAAAUCAGAGACAGCAGAAAGGGAGAGAAAACCCAGGGUAAGCAUUCCUAGGAGAUGAUCUGAAAGUUGCUGACAUCACUUCUGCUUUCUUUUCGCUGGCCUGAAAUCAGUCUAUUGUCACACCUGACAACAAGGUCAAGUCCUGUGAAUCAUAGGCCCUUAACAUGGUUGGUUAGACCUCAGAUCUGUCCACUUAUCUCUAUCCCCACUGCCAUGGCCUUCUUUCUAGCCCUCAUCAUCUCUUACUUACAUUAGUUUAACACCUUCUAAUUGGCCCUUAUUUUCCAUCUUUUCCUCGUCUGAUCCAUCUUUCCACCUUCGGCAUAGGUAGCCAGACUGAUCUUUUUGAAAUACAAAUCUAAUCACAUCAUUCUGCCUAAAAUUUUAAAUGAUGAAACACUGACUUCAGAGAAAAGAAAUUUCAACAGCCAAACACCUAAUGACAUCCAAGGCCUUUCUUUUUGGCCCUCCCUCGUUCUCCAGCCUUGUAAUGCUCAAAUGUCUGGGGGGUGCAGCCAUGUUGGCACACAUUUGGUCUUUUAAGGGUGGAAGAAAUGGGAGCUAAAAGCUAAGCCUUUGACAGCUAACUUCUCUGGGAUAUGAAGUGAGAAAACACAUGUGUUUUCUAUCACGCUAACAAAGUUCAGCAUUUGUCCUCUCUUCAAACAAAUGUGGAAACUACCUGUUUGAGGCCUAUGGUUUCCCAAGGCUUCUAGAAACCAAGCUCUUUACUCUGCAGGACUUCUUGGGAUUUUCGGGAUUAUCUGUUGGGAGCUAUGUGUCCCAUCAGAGUUCCGUCCUGAGUUCAGUCUGCAGAGCUGACCUGUCCUGUGAUGUGUCCAUGUGGAAAGCAGAGCAGGGUCUUAUAUAUAUAUUGAUUUUUUUUUUACAUACAGGUCUCUGGUAUUAUUUCAAGCAAAUGAAAGUUCCAAGAGGUUGAUGCUGGCGAUACCUCUUACUGCUAACUUCAAUGAUUCUGGGUGAAUAACUUCCUUUCUGGGCCUCUACUUUCCCAUCUGUAAAAUGAGGAUGUUGAACUAGGAUGAUGCCAAAAGUCUAUUUCAGCAAUGUGAUGAGAUUAAUUCACUCAUUCGAUACUUAUUUUUGAGCCCCCACUAUGUGCUCAGGACUAUUAUAUGUGAUGAGAAUAUUGUGUUGAAAAAGAUGGACAAAAAUCUUCUCUAAUGAAGAUUAUAUCCUAUUUUGCAGUCAAGUGGUCAAACACACAUACAUAAAGACAAACACAGAACCAGUUAGACAGUGACGGCUGCUAGGGAGAUGAUUAUGAAGGAUGGUGUGAUGAACACGACAGCCUGUCUCUGAGUGACAUUCAGACUAAGACGCAGACAUGCCAAAUCAGGCAGUAAGUGUUCCAUGAAAGAAACCAUCAAGAGCACUGAACUUCAUGUGCUUAAUGAAAUGAAAGAGACCUAGAGGGAGAGGUGAAGUUUGAAAGUGGUCCUAGAGGAGAGGCAGAAGUUGCUCUGGGGCCAGAUUGUGUAGGAUGUUUAUACCAGAAGAGAUAUAUUCCAAGUAUUUGUGAAAGUCCCUGGAGAACUUUAAGCUUGGGAUAGAAAGAUCUUUAUUUAAGUACUGAAAAUACCAUUCUUGGAAUUAUAUGGAGUAUGGGUUAUGAAGGGUUAGGAGUAGAAGGUACCUUUACUUAGGAGGUUAUUAUAGAACUCUGCAAGAGAGACAUAGGGGCAUGGAUCAGAAAGGUAGCAGUUAAUGGAGAAAAGUGAAUGAAUAUGAAACAUGCUCAUGGAGGGUUUGCAGAGAACGAGUGAAAGAAAAGUCAAGGAUAUCACCUAGAUAUGGUGGGAUCAUUUUCUGCAAUUAUAAAGACUAGGUUUAAGAGAAUAAAAUAGUUUUUGUUUUGUUUUGGGUUUUGGAACAUGUACACUUUGAGAUACCCAUUACACCUGUAAGUAUAGAUGUCAUGUAAGCAAUUGAGAAAGGUCAUUGCUGGAGAUGUAACUUUGAAAGCCAUUAGCAAAUGGAUAAUUUUGAAAGCUGUGAAAUCAUCUCAUCUCAUAUAGAUGAGAUCAUCUAGGGAGAGAGUUUAGACAGAGAAGGGAACAGGUCUUCUAGCACUGGGGUAUUCCUUCAUUUAAAGAUUUGGUGGAGGAGAAUAACCAAAUGAAAGAUGCUGACAAAGAGCAAAGAAUGAAGUAGGAAAACAAUUAGGAAAGAGUUGUUUCACUAAGCAAGCAAGAAAAGUGUUUCAAAAAUAGGUUUGUUCAGGAGUUUCUGCCAUGGCAUAGUGGAAACCAAUCUGACUAGUAUCCAUGAGGAUGCAGGUUUGAUCCCUGGCCUCCCUCAGUGGGUUAAGGAGCUGGCAUUGCCACAAGCUGUGUUGUGGGUUGCAGAUACAGCUCGAAUUUUUGACAUUCCUGUGGCUGUGGUAUGGGCUGGUGGCUACACCUCCAAUUCUAUGCUGUGGGUGCAGCCCUAAAAAGACAAAAAAAAAAAAAAA
rnacentral:lncRNA from 1 species